GAGCGCCGCGACAGCUGUUUCCGCUGUUCAAGGAGAGCCGCUCAAACGCUGGUUUAGGGAAGGCAGAGUGAUGCUAGGAAAGUUCAUUCUUGCCAUGAUCCUUACCUCUUUUUUUUUCUUCUUCUUGCAUGUGUUUUCUUUUUCACUUUGUUAAAGAUCCCUGCUGGUAGAGACUCUAUGCUGAUAACGUGUAAGAAUUCAGAGGAAAAGUUCCCUUUCAUCUAUAGUUACAGAAGGUUCCAAGCUCUAUUGGUGCCACUGAGCUCUUGAAAUGUCAGCUGGUCGUCGCCUCUUUUAGUGGUAAUCAUCAGCUGUCUGCGCAUUUUCCUUGCAUUAUACAGUUGUUUCAUGUGAUGUUCAGGUACUGCUCGUGUCGAGCUGAUGGGAAGCGCAUGUAUGUUACUUGGCUCGAAUUGUGUUUGGCAUAGUCAUGUGCUAGGGACUACUCGGUGCCUUUUUCAGUAAGGAAAAUAGUUAGUUUUAUAUUGUGAGUUUAUAUUCUUUUUUUAGGAAAAUGGUGGCAUCAUAUUUAAGGUCAAGAUAUUUUUGUUCCAAGUUACUAUUGUAUAUACCUUUCCUAUUUGGCAUACGUAUAUAUCAUAUAUCUUGAUGCCAGUAUAGUUGCAUGCUGUAACAUCCACCGAAAGGAAUUGGUAUCAGAAACAUUGAAGAUGUUAGCAGUAGGUCCUUUCUAUUGUUUGGAACCUCAUUUUUUGCAAUGAGAUUGUUUUGGGUGCUCAUCUUUGUUGUUUUCUUGCAGGUCAUUGUUUGCUGUCGUCAUGCUACAUGUGCUCCUAUUCGUCUAUGGUUACUUGAGAUAUGAUAUGGUACCCUUAUGACCACUUUGCAGCUUCUGUAGCUUCACAAUUUCAGACAAAUUAAGUUAAGCGCAUCAUGUUUUAAGAGGAAAUUCCUGCUCAUGCAACAUCCAGGUAAGUCUGCAUUUAGUGGGCCUUUACAUGGUUUGGUUAUCCUAUAAGUGACUUGAUGUUCAAGGUUUAUCACUUAAAUUGAUAAGUUUAAAAUGGUUAAACUGGAAAGGAAAACUAGAGCACGUGCUUCUCAUGUUUGACAGUGUAUACUUAUUCUGCCUACUAAUUUUAGUCAUCAAUGGUUACAAAUCUCAUGGCAUAUAGAUUUAUCUGAGGUGACUUAUCCAAAUGAAUACCAUAUCUAUUGACUUUUGACUAUAUUGGUUUACACAUAAUGCUCUUCCAGCUAGUGAACCUCAAAAUUUGGAGAAAAAAGGCCAGCUUUAACAUUGUUGGUACUUUGUGUUAUGAGAUUCUUUGUGUGACCAACUCUUUUGUCACAGCUUCAUUUGUUGCAGGGUGUAAGAUGUAAUACCUUUGCGCUACAGAUUUUUCGCUGGUCCAAGUACUGACGUGCUUUUAUCUGCCAUCAGAUAUUCAGAUUGUGUCAUGAGUUAUGUGUGUGGAAUCCUUUAUUCCCGCAGCACAUAAGGUCGGUGUUGUCAAAUUCGUCGCGUUGCUGAGAAGCAACAUUUACAUACCUGAUGCAAGUGGCAACUCUGCUAUUGUUACUUUAUGGCGAGAACAUGCAGAAACCUUUGAUGUGGUUGCUCUUCGUUAAGCCUCCUAUGAGGACAACAUUAUUAUACUGUGUUUGCAGGCAUUAGUGUUGCCCUAGUUGUCAGGACUGUCUGUUUUGAUUACUGCCUGUUGGUAUUGUCACAAAGUUCAUGAACGCAGUUUGAUGGUGCUAACAUUCUAUCAGGACAUGUCCAUAUCCAUAUGUUGGUCUUAAGGUUGCAAGAUGAAGAAGAUCGAGUACAAUGAAGAAGACGGAUGAAGACGGUGUCGGAGAGAGACGAAGACGGUGUAUAAGAUGAAGAGAG